UGAAUACGAGAUGCUACGGCGUCGAAGCAGUGUAUGUCAGACUUCCAAGAAAAGCUCGCAAUGUCAUAAAUAAAGAAUGCCUGUACCAUAACCGACACAGGUGGGUAGGUAGAGUAUACUAAGGGGCGCGAGAUAACUCUCUCUAAGGAACUCGGCAAAAUAACUCCGUAACUUCGGGAGAAGGAGUGCCUUCUUUAAGAAGGUUGCAAUAACAAGAUCCAAGCAACUGUUUAUCAAAAACACAGGUCUCCGCUAAGUCGUAAGACGAUGUAUGGGGGCUGACGCCUGCCCAGUGCCAGAAGGUUAAAGAAGCUGGUUAGCAAUAGCGAAGCUGGUGACUGAAGCCCUGGUGAACGGCGGCCGUAACUAUAACGGUCCUAAGGUAGCGAAAUUCCUUGUCUGGUAAGUUCCGACCCGCACGAAAGGCGUAAUGAUUUGGGUACUGUCUCGGAGAGGGACUCGGUGAAAUAGACUUGUCUGUGAAGAUGCGGACUACCUGCACCAGGACAGAAAGACCCUAUGAAGCUUUACUGUAACCUGAAAUUGAAAUUGGACUUUAUUUGCGCAGUAUAGGUGGGAGGCGUUGAAAGUAAUCUUGCGGGAUUAGUGGAGCCAUCAGUGAGAUACCACUCCUAUAAUGUUAGAUUUCUAACUUUGGAUCAUGAUCUGGUCAAAGAACAGUUUCAGGCGGGCAGUUUGACUGGGGCGGUCGCCUCCCAAAUGGUAACGGAGGCGUACAAAGGUUUCCUCUGAACGGGUAGAGAUCGUAUCUAGAGUGUAAAGGCAUAAGGAAGCUUGACUGUGAGACCUACAAGUCGAGCAGGGACGAAAGUCGGUCUUAGUGAUCUGACGGUGCUGAGUGGAAAGGCCGUCACUCAACGGAUAAAAGUUACUCUAGGAUAACAGGCUGAUCUCCCCCAAGAGUUCACAUCGACGGGGAGGUUUGGCACCUCGAUGUCGGCUCAUCGCAUCCUGGGGCGGUAGUACGUCCCAAGGGUUGGGCUGUUCGCCCAUGAAAGCGGUACGCGAGCUGGGUUCAGAACGUCGUGAGACAGUUCGGUCCAUAUCCGGUGUAGGCGUUAGAAUAUUGAGAGGAGCCUUCUCUAGUACGAGAGGACCGAGAAGGACAUACCUCUGGUGUACCAGUUAUCGUGCCAACGGUAAACGCUGGGUUGCUAUGUAUGGAGAGGAUAACCGCUGAAAGCAUCAAAGUGGGAAGCCCACCUCAAGAU
rnacentral:rRNA from 1 species